AACGAACGCUGGCGGCAUGCCUAACACAUGCAAGUCGAACGAGACCUUCCGGUCUAGUGGCGCACGGGUGCGUAACGCGUGGGAACCUGCCCUUAGGUUCGGAAUAACUCCCCGAAAGGGGUGCUAAUACCGGAUAAUGUCUUCGGACCAAAGAUUUAUCGCCAUUGGAUGGGGCCUGGUUGGAUUAGCUAGUUGGUAGGGUAAAAGCCUACCAAGGCGACGAUCCAUAGCUGGUCUGAGAGGAUGAUCAGCCCCACUGGGACUGAGACACGGCCCAUACUCCUACGGGAGGCAGCAGUGGAGAAUAUUGGACACUGGACGAAAGCCUGAUACAGCAAUGCCGCGUGAGUGAUGAAGGCCUUAGGGUUGUAAAGCUCUUUUACCCGGGAUGAUAAUGACAGUAACGGGAGAAUAAGCUCCGGCUAACUCCGUG
rnacentral:rRNA from 1 species